CCCACCCUUCCUAUGCUCUUCACUCACUCAUUCUUAGAUACUCAUAAUACACUUAGUUUUUUUUGUUUCUUUUCUUCUUUCAACAUCUCUCAGUAAAUAUACUCCCUUUCUCUGGAAAUUUCAUUUUCUUUAGUUUUUUCAUCCUUGUUUACCCACCGAUUGUCGUCACUCCUCACAUGAAACUUUAAGAGUAUUGAUGUAUCAAUCUUUCCUGUGGAUGUUGAUGGUGUCAAGGGAUGUUGAUGGUAGGUAUCAAAUGUUAUGUGAAGAUAAAGCAUAAAAGAAGUAAAUUGGAUUGAUGUUUUCAUGGGUUUUCUGGUUUUUGUGAUUGUGUUUGUGAGGCGAUUAAAGCAUGCAACAUUUGAAGGUAUCAAUAAGGUAUCAUUUCAAGUGAUGAUUGAUAUCCCCUGAAUUUAAGGAGACAAAUGUAUUGUAUCAAGUAGAUAAAGUCGGAUCAGUAUUCAGCAGACAAAAAGUUUCUUAUGUAUGUGUUUGUGUAUCACGAUAGAAUUUUUCCAUUUCAUGCGCGCAUUAAAGUUUCUGCUAUACAUUUUCUGCGUUUUCUUUUUUUGAAUUCAUGGGAGCAGUGAUGCAUUGGUGAAGGAGGAGGUUGAUGGGAACAUCUUUAGUUGAUAUAAUCAAAGAACUUUUUUCUGAUAUCCAAAUUGAAUCUUCGCAGAAUGUGUACCCUUAUAAGAGCUUGGCUUGUUCACUUGAUCCUGUAGAUGAAACACUAUUUAUCUCGAUGGAGUUGACAUAGAACUGAGUCCGUUAUUGACCUUUUAUAAGCCUGGCUUCAAAGAGUGGUUUGAACAUAAAUAAGAAGAAAAACGAAAAAAAGAGGUGUAGAUAGAGAUGGGAAAAGAAAUACCUUUGGAUUUUAGUAUAUGUUUUAUUUUUCUUUCUUUCUUCUUAACUUUUUGUACCUUCUUUUCUGUAUUGAAUCUGUUGCUGAUUCUUUAUGGGUUCCAUAUUCGCGAGGUUGAAGCUUUGGUCUGAUGAAAAAGGAGAAUUUGAAUUUGUUAAUGUGAUUAAUUUCAUUCACAUAAUGGGUCCUGUAACUUGAUUCCAAAUCUAAAGCUAUGACUAUAUGACUACUAAGGUUUGCGGUUGAGCAAGAACCGGUUAUAGCCAUAGGUAAUGAGUAAUGACACUAAUAUUUAAUUAAUAAAUCCAACCAUUACUGCAUAUUCGUUUAACUUAUCUUGAUUACCUCAAAGUCCUCGCUUUAAUGUUUUAAUAAAAUAAUAUUUUAUAUAAUAUGUAAUCUACACUUUAUACUCCCAAUAAAGACGAUAUAUUUUUUUUACACUCAUU